rnacentral:rRNA from 1 species
UUUCAACGGAGAGUUUGAUCCUGGCUCAGGACGAACGCUGGCGGCGUGCUUAACACAUGCAAGUCGAGCGGUAAGGCCCUUUCGGGGGUACACGAGCGGCGAACGGGUGAGUAACACGUGA